CCUACGGGUGACAGCAGUGGGGAAUAUUGCACAAUGGGGGAAACCCUGAUGCAGCGACGCCGCGUGAGUGAAGAAGUAUUUCGGUACGUAAAGCUCUAUCAGCAGGGAAGAAAAUGACGGUACCUGACUAAGAAGCCCCGGCGAACUACGUGCCAGCAGCCGCGGUAAUACGUAGGGGGCAAGCGUUAUCCGGAUGUACUGGGUGUAAAGGGAGCGUAGACGGCAGCGCAAGUCUGGAGUGAAAUCCCAUGGCUUAACCAUGGAACUGCUUUGGAAACUGUGCAGCUAGAGUGCAGGAGAGGUAAGCGGAAUUCCUAGUGUAGCGGUGAAAUGCGUAGAUAUUAGGAGGAACACCAGUGGCGAAGGCGGCUUACUGGACUGUAACUGACGUUGAGGCUCGAAAGCGUGGGGAGCAAACAGGAUUAGAUACCCCGGUAGAC
rnacentral:rRNA from 1 species